rnacentral:rRNA from 1 species
CCCUUAGAUGUUCUGGGCCGCACGCGUGCUACACUGAGUAAUUCAAUGGGUAAGGGAACGCUAGAGCAUUACCUAAUCUUGAAAUUUGCUCGUGAUGGGGAUCGACGGUUGCAAUUUUCCGUCGUGAACGAGGAAUACCUUGUAGGCGCAUGUCAUCAUCAUGCGCCGAAUACGUCCCUGCCCUUUGUACACACCGCCCGUCGCUCCUACCGAUUGAGUGAUCCGGUGAGGCUCUGGGACCUGGACGGAAAGAGCGUUUCGCUUGUUCUGCUUGGGAAACUUGGUCGAACCUUAUCAUUUAGAGGAAGGAGAAGUCGUAACA